CGGUGUGAGGUCUCUUGGGGCAUCCCCUUUUUCUUCUUAUGCAUUGGUUUUAGGGAGAAAAAAAGAAAGAGGUUCCUUCCUCUUCCACCUCUUCUUCUUUCUUCUCAUCUUCUUCAUCUCUGAGAGGUCUAAGAGAUAUGGAGAAGAUCUACAUCAACCAUCAGGAGCGAAUCUCUACAAGGGAGCUAGCAUCCUGGAGAGAUCAAGGAGUCUUUGAUCAGAUCAAGUGCCUCAUGUGGAUACCUAUAGAGGCUAAACGCAUAUAUGGCUCGAGAAAUCAAGACAUCCAUGAUCAUUGGAUACGGUGU
rnacentral:lncRNA from 1 species